CGUCAAAGUAGAAAGGGCGUACGGUGGAUGCCUAGGCACCAAGGGCCGAAGAAGGACGCGGCAGGCGGCGAAACGCCCCGGGGAGCUGCGAGCAAGCUGUGAUCCGGGGGUAUCCGAAUGGGGAAACCCACUCCGGGUAAUGCCGGAGUAUCCCUAAGGGGAAACUCUUAGGGAGGGGAACCAGGGGAACUGAAACAUCUUAGUACCCUGAGGAAAAGAAAGAGAAAUUCGAUUCCCUGAGUAGUGGUGAGCGAAAGGGGAAGAGCCUAAACCUGUGUGGUGUAGAAGCUCGCGGGCGUUGCCACACAGGGGUAGAGGGAUAAGGUCGGGGAAAGCCGCGACUUUCCCGUAGGCGAUGUACACAUAGCCGAAUGGUCUGGGAAGGCCAGCCAGAGAGGGUGAGAGCCCCGUAGGCGAAAUGUGUACUAAGCCUAUGGACCUUACUCCCGAGUAGCGUGGGACACGGGGAAUCCUGCGCGAAUCUGGGCGGACCACCGCCUAAGGCUAAAUACCCUUGGUGACCGAUAGCGCAUAGUACCGUGAGGGAAAGGUGAAAAGAACCCCGGAGAGGGGAGUGAAAUAGAACCUGAAACCGUACGUCCACAAGGAGUAGGAGAGCGAUGCUCAAAGGAGGUUAAACACCUUCUUUGAGCUGGCUCGACUGCGUGCCUGUUGAAGAAUGAGCCGGCGAGUUGAUGCGUGUGGCGAGGUUAAGGGAGUGGAGUCCCGGAGCCGAAGUGAAAGCGAGCCUGAAUAGGGCGCUAAGUCACACGCAUCAGACCCGAAACCAGGCGAGCUACCCAUGGCCAGGAUGAAGCGGGGUUAACCCCCCGUGGAGGUCCGAACCCGUUAGCAGUGAAAAGCUAUGGGAUGAGCUGUGGGUAGGAGUGAAAAGCUAAUCGAGCCUGGAGAUAGCUGGUUCUCCCCGAAAUAGCUUUAGGGCUAGCCUCAGCCGAAGAAGCUCAGGGAGGUAGAGCACUGGUUGGGCGAGGGGCGGGGAUCCGCUGCCGAGUCCAGUCAAACUCCGAAUGCCCUGAGUGGAUGGCUGGGAGUCGGACUGUGGGGGAUAAGCUCCAUAGUCGAGAGGGGAACAGCCCAGAUCAACAGCUAAGGUCCCAAAGUCCGGGCUAAGUGGUAAAGGAGGUAGCUUGGCGAAGACAGUCAGGAUGUUGGCUUAGAAGCAGCCAUCAUUCAAAGAGUGCGUAAUAGCUCACUGAUCGAGCCAAGCUGCGCCGAAAAUACACGGGGCUAAAGCCCGGCACCGAAGCUUUGGGUUCUACCUAUCUUCGGGUAGGUAGGGCGGUAGGGGAGCGUUCCGCUGUAGGGAGAAGGCGGACCGGAAGGACCGCUGGACGAGGCGGAAGUGAGAAUGCCGGCAUGAGUAGCGAAAAGGAGGGUGAGAAUCCCUCCCACCGAAAGCCCGAGGUUUCCUGGGUAAAGCUCGUCUUCCCAGGGUUAGGCGGGAGCUAAGCCGAGGCCGAAAGGCGUAGGUGAUGCACAGCCGGUUAAUAUUCCGGCCCCACCUACUGACCGUUAUUACCGAAGGAGGGACGCAGGAGGGUAGGUGCGCCUGGUGGUGACAUACCAGGUCCAAGCCCCAAGGGAGGGAGUGUAGGCAAAUCCGCACUCCUGUUGAACUGAGGGGUGAUGGGGAGUCCUCGAGAGAGGGCGAAGGCAUCGAGCUCACACUGCCGAGAAAAGCUCCUAGGGAGGUCAGUGGGUGCCCGUACCGCAAACCGACACAGGUGGGCGAGGUGAAGAUCCAAAGGUGCGCGGGAUAACCCUCGUUAAGGAACUCGGCAAAAUGGCCCCGUACGUUCGCAAGAAGGGGUGCCCGAGUAAGGUGAAUAGCCUGAAAGGGCCGCAGUGAAGUGGCUCUGGGGACUGUUUACCAAAAACACAGGUCUCUGCUAAGGCGUAGAAGCCGAUGUAUAGGGGCUGAGGCCUGCCCGGUGCUGGAAGGUUAAGGGGAAGGGUUAGGGUGAAGAACCCGAAGCCCUGAACCGAAGCCCCAGUGAACGGCGGCCGUAACUAUAACGGUCCUAAGGUAGCGAAAUUCCUUGUCGGGUAAGUUCCGACCCGCAUGAAAGGCAUAACCACUGGAGCGCUGUCUCAACGAGGGGCCCGGUGAAAUUAGAGUGUCCGUGAAGAUACGGACUACCCGUGGCAGGACGGAAAGACCCCGUGAAGCUUUACUGUAGCCUGGCAUUGAACUCUGGCACUGCAUGUAGAGGAUAGGUGGGAGGCAGAGAAGCGGGGGCGCCAGCCUCCGUGGAGCCGCCGGUGGAAUACCACCCUUGUGGUGUUGGGGUUCUAACCCCAAAAGAAGAGCCUUUUGGGGGACAGUGCUUGGUGGGCAGUUUGACUGGGGCGGUCGCCUCCUAAAGGGUAACGGAGGCGCCCAAAGGUAGGCUUGGCACGGUUAGAAAUCGUGCCUGAAGUGUAAGGGCGUUAAGCCUGCCUGACUGUGAGGCCGACGGGCCGAGCAGAGACGAAAGUCGGGCCUAGUGAUCCGGUGGUCCCGAGUGGAAGGGCCAUCGCUCAACGGAUAAAAGUUACUCCGGGGAUAACAGGCUGAUCUCGCCCGAGAGUCCACAUCGACGGCGAGGUUUGGCACCUCGAUGUCGGCUCACCGCAUCCUGGGGCUGGAGAAGGUCCCAAGGGUUGGGCUGUUCGCCCAUUAAAGCGGUACGUGAGCUGGGUUCAGAACGUCGUGAGACAGUUCGGUCCCUAUCCGCCACGGGCGAAGGAAACUUGAGGGGAACUGCUCCUAGUACGAGAGGACCGGAGCAGGCGGACCUCUGGUGUACCAGUUGUGCCGUCAGGUGCAGGAGCUGGGUAGCCAAGUCCGUACGGGAUAAGCGCUGAAAGCAUCUAAGCGCGAAGCCCACCCCAAGAUAAGGUUUCCCACGGGGGAAGCCCGGUAAGGCACCUCCGAGAAGAGGAGGUAGAUAGGCCGGAGGUGGAAGCGCAGCAAUGCGUGGAGCCGACCGGUACUAAUAUGCCGAGGCUUUGACGCC
rfam:Dictyoglomus turgidum DSM 6724, complete genome.